rnacentral:rRNA from 1 species
UCUGCCUGGUAGUGGGGGAUAACCUUUCGAAAGGAACGCUAAUACCGCAUACGUCCUACGGGAGAAAGUGGGGGAUCUUCGGACCUCACGCUAUCAGAUGAGCCUAGGUCGGAUUAGCUAGUUGGUGGGGUAAUGGCCCACCAAGGCGACGAUCCGUAACUGGUCUGAGAGGAUGAUCAGUCACACUGGAACUGAGACACGGUCCAGACUCCUACGGGAGGCAGCAGUGGGGAAUAUUGGACAAUGGGCGAAAGCCUGAUCCAGCCAUGCCGCGUGUGUGAAGAAGGUCUUCGGAUUGUAAAGCACUUUAAGUUGGGAGGAAGGGCAGUAAGUUAAUACCUUGCUGUUUUGACGUUACCAACAGAAUAAGCACCGGCUAACUUCGUGCCAGCAGCCGCGGUAAUACGAAGGGUGCAAGCGUUAAUCGGAAUUACUGGGCGUAAAGCGCGCGUAGGUGGUUCAGCAAGUUGGAUGUGAAAGCCCCGGGCUCAACCUGGGAAUUGCAUCCAAAACUACUGAGCUAGAGUACGGUAGAGGGUGGUGGAAUUUCCUGUGUAGCGGUGAAAUGCGUAGAUAUAGGAAGGAACACCAGUGGCGAAGGCGACCACCUGGACUGAUACUGACACUGAGGUGCGAAAGCGUGGGGAGCAAACAGGAUUAGAUAC